CGGGUGAGUAACGCGUGGCGAACCUGCCUUAUACAGGGGAGUAACAGCUGGAAACAGUUGCUAAUACCGCAUAAGCGCACAGUGUCGCAUGGCACAGUGUGAAAACUAAGGUGGUAUAAGAUGGGCCCGCGUCUGAUUAGCUAGUUGGGAGGGUAACGGCCUGCCAAGGCAACGAUCAGUAGCCGGCCUGAGAGGGCGGACGGCCACAUUGGGACUGAGACACGGCCCAGACUCCUACGGAAGGCAGCAG
rnacentral:rRNA from 1 species